rnacentral:rRNA from 1 species
UGUCACCUACGGGGGGCAGCAGUGGGGAAUCUUCCGCAAUGGGCGCAAGCCUGACCCAGCAACGCCGCGUGAAGGAAGAAGGCCCUCGGGUUGUAAACUUCUUUUAUUCGGGACGAAACAAAUGACGGUACCGAAUGAAUAAGCCACGGCUAACUACGUGCCAGCAGCCGCGGUAAUACGUAGGUGGCAAGCGUUAUCCGGAUUUACUGGGUGUAAAGGGCGUGUAGGCGGGAGAGCAAGUCAGACGUGAAAUUCCAGGG